AAGUCGUAACAAGGUUUCCGUAGGUGAACCUGCGGAAGGAUCAUUAACACGUUAGCCUGCCGAAAGGAGGCUUUCGUAACUAUAAAAAACGCGAACUGUUAUUCUCCCUGGUUUGGUUGUGAGGUGUUAGGGUCACUUAGGUAGAUAGCAUUCCGAUGCUAUAGUGGCCUUAGCUACGGGUCUUUGAACUCAGCCUUGCAGCCUUACUAGGUGUAUAUAAAUCCAUAUAUCUCCUUCUGCCUUAGGAGGUAUAUGGGGGUCCUAUUAACCAUUUAGGGCCCUUGUAUUCAUUUAAACUACGUUUAAUAUUGAUCUGAUUUAAGCUUACUGGCGCUUGAUUCGCUCGAAAGGGCUAGAGUCGUGCCGUAGGUUUCAUAUAUAAAUGAUACGACUCUUACCAAUGGAUGUCUUGGUUCCCAU
rnacentral:misc_RNA from 1 species